UACGUAGGGUGCAAGCGUUGUCCGGAAUUAUUGGGCGUAAAGAGCUUGUAGGCGGUUUGUCGCGUCUGCUGUGAAAUUUCGGGGCUCAACCCCGAACUUGCAGUGGGUACGGGCAGACUAGAGUGUGGUAGGGGAGACUGGAAUUCCUGGUGUAGCGGUGAAAUGCGCAGAUAUCAGGAGGAACACCGAUGGCGAAGGCGGCGCUCUGGGCCGGUACUGACACUGAGGAGCGAAAGCGUGGGGAGCGAACAGG
rnacentral:rRNA from 1 species